rnacentral:lncRNA from 1 species
AACCUUAGUCGCCUUAUGUAAAUUAAAUUAAACAUACACAUAUAAGUUAAAAACCCUAGCUUACUAAUCCCUCUAGUUAUUCUUCUUUAUUCUACAUUGUUAACCUUCAAAAUAUACCACCCAUAGUCAUUGUCCAUUCGCCACCUCUAGCAAAUCAAUCAAGUAGUUGGCCUUUAAAAACACAUAUGAUGCCAACGACCUUUGAAUCGUGAUAAUAAACAUAAUAUGGUUAUAAUAUUAACACUUCAUCAAUCAUGUAAAUAUAAAUCACAAAAUUAUCACUCAAUCAUAUGAGUAAAACAUCUCAAACUUAAAAAGUUCAAGGCAAUUGCUCUCGCAAAUUCACUGGUAUUUGGAGUCCUCCCAAUAG